GAUGAACGCUGGCGGCAUGCCUAAGACAUGCAAGUCGAACGAAGUGGCCCAUUGACAUAGAAGAGCUUGCUCUUUUAUUGAUUUGGAUUUUCCACUUAGUGGCGAAAGGGUGAGUAACGCGUGGGUAAUCUACCUUAGAGUCUGGAAUAACAGCUGGAGACGGUUGCUAAUACCGGAUUAUAUUUAGGAUGUAAUUUAUCGUUUAUUAAAAGGGGCCUUUAAAGCCCCGCUCUAAGAUGAGCCUGCGUCGCAUUAGCUAGUUGGUGGGGUAAGGGCCUACCAAGGCGACGAUGCGUAGCCGACUCGAGAGGGUGAUCGGCCACACUGGGACUGAGACACGGCCCAGACUCCUACGGGAGACAGCAGUUAGGGAUAUUCGUCAAUGGGGGAAACCCUGAACGAGCAAUGCCGCGUGAGUGAUGACGGUCCUUUGGAUUGUAAAACUCUGUUGUUAGGAAAGAAUAGCUAAUAAAGGAAAUGUUAUUAGUUUGACGGUACCUUUCAAGAAAGCGCCGGCUAACUACGUGCCAGCAGCCGCGGUAAUACGUAGGGCGCAAGCGUUAUCCGGAUUUAUUGGGUGUAAAGCGUGUGUAGGCGGUUUUGUAAGUCUAGGGUCUAAGGCUGGAGCUUAACUCCAGUUCGCCUUAGAAACUGCAUAACUUGAGUUUGGUAGAGGUAAACGGAAUUUCUAGUGUAGUGGUGAAAUACGUAGAUAUUAGAAGGAACACCAGUGGCGAAGGCGGUUUACUGGGCCAAUACUGACGCUGAUGCACGAAAGCGUGGGUAGCAAAUAGGAUUAGAUACCCUAGUAGUCCACGCCGUAAACGAUGGAUACUAAG
rnacentral:rRNA from 1 species